UUUGGACCCACACUUGUGUUGGGGAAUGGGUAGAGGCCAUUUGGAUAUGUUUUAUUCUUAUCUUGGAAUGAUUAGGGGGCCUAAUGGAAAUAAUCAAAACAAUAUGGGUCAAAUAGGAUACAAUUAUUUAAGUUAGGGACCUGCAACACGAUUAGGGCUUUAAAAAGUCCCAAAUCAGCCAAGAGCUUCCCCGUUUCCGCUUCUCUCCCUCUGAGACCGCCUCGGACACCCCACCCCACCCCACCCCACCCCACCCCCCCUCCCCCCCCCCUCGCAUCUAAAGAUCUUUCUCUGUUUCUCGUCUCUCGCUCUCUGAUCUGUCCCUCUGUCUCUCACCACUACCACCAUAUUUCCCCUUCCCCUUCUCUCCCCUUCCCCCGAUUUUCCCAAACUUAGGUCAUAUGGACGAAAUCGGCCACCGAGGCAUCCGCCACACUUGCACUCAUGCCUCGGGCCAAGACACAUUAGGAUUCGCGUGACCGCGGCGACAUGGGCUUCGCACUUAGAACCGUGGCGACGUAGGUUUUGUAUUUCGGUAGGUGGGAAUUUUAACUUGAUUUUAUAAUUUUUUAAAAAAGCAUUAAUUACUUGAAUUUAUGUAAUUGGUUAAUUGAAUCUUGGUUGAGGACACUAAAUUACAUAACGAUGGAAUGAUGAGAGUUUAUGUGAUUGAUUGAUUAAAAUUUAGUUGAGUGGUUUAAAUUGUGUAAAAUGUAGUUGAGUGGGCUAAACUGUAUAAUGUUGAAUAUAUUGAUGGCUACCCGAAUGGGGUAAAUUUCUUAGCUGUAUAACAAGAUUUCAUUUUUAAAUGUUGGUUGAGUGGGCCUUAGUUGAAUUUACUUGAUUAAUUGUUUGAAUGUUGGCCGAGUGGGCCUUAGUUUCAAGUUUACUUAAUUAUUUGUUUAAAUAUUGUCUGAGUUGGCCUUAGUUUCGAAUUUACUUUAUUCGUUGUUUGAGUGUUGGCUGAGUGGGCCUUAAUUUUAAAUUUAUUUGAUU
rnacentral:lncRNA from 1 species